rnacentral:rRNA from 1 species
AAGUAGUUGGGUCUAGCGACGCGCAUUUCAAGCGCCCGUGAAAUCGGGUCAAACCGCCGGCUGCGUUGGCGUUGCGGGCUCGGUCCGUCGGUGCCCCACAAAGGGCUAUCGGCGUGUCAAUAGGCCCGCCCGUAACCUCCUUCUGGAUUCCCGUAACUGCUAUUGAGUUAGUGGGGACGUCACAGGGGGUCCAUCGUCGUGCGGCGUCAAAACCGUGCGGCGGUGGGUCCCUGGGGCCCAGAUCGUAAACCGUGAAAAAAUUAGAGUGUUCAAAGCAGGCAGAUCCAAUUUUCUGCCACCGAAUACAUUAGCAUGGGAUAAUGCAAUAGGACCCUGUCCUCCUAUUUUCAGUUGGUUUUGGCAGCGCGAGGACUAGGGUAAUGACCAAUAGGGAUAGUUGGGGGCAUUAAUAUUUAAUUGAGAGAGGUGAAAUUCUUGGAUUUAUGAAAGAUUAACUUCUGCGAAAGCAUCUGCCAAGGAAGUUUUCAUUAAUCAAGAACGAAAGUUAGGGGAUCGCUGACGAUCAGAUACCGUCGUAGUCUUGGCCAUAAACGAUGCCGACCAGCGAUUAGGAGACGUUGAAUACAAAACACCACCAUCGGUGCGGUCGUCCUUGGCGUCUCGGUCCUUCACGGGGCCGGGGCGCAAAAGUGGCUUAGCCCGGUGGCACCGCAGAAUGACUCCGCUAGCAGCUUGUGAGAAAUCAUAAGUCUUUGGGCC